rnacentral:rRNA from 1 species
UACGUAGGGUGCGAGCGUUGUCCGGAUUUAUUGGGCGUAAAGAGCUUGUAGGCGGCUCGUCACGUCGGGUGUGAAAACUCGCGGCUCAACCGCGAGCCUGCACCCGAUACGGGCGGGCUGGAGUUCGGCAGGGGAGACUGGAAUUCCUGGUGUAGCGGUGGAAUGCGCAGAUAUCAGGAGGAACACCGGUGGCGAAGGCGGGUCUCUGGGCCACUACUGACGCUGAGAAGCGAAAGCAUGGGGAGCGAACAGG